GACGAACGCUGGCGGCGUGCUUAACACAUGCAAGUCGAACGGUAAGGCCCUUCGGGGUACACGAGUGGCGAACGGGUGAGUAACACGUGGGUGAUCUGCCCUGCUCUUCGGGAUAAGCCUGGGAAACUGGGUCUAAUACCGGAUAGGACUCCUGGCUUCAUGGUUGGGGGUGGAAAGCUUUUGCGGUGUGGGAUGGGCCCGCGGCCUAACAGCUUGUUGGUGGGGGAAUGGCCUACCAAGGCGACGACGGGUAGCCGGCCUGAGAGGGUGACCGGUCACACUGGGACUGAGAUACGGCCCGGACUCCUACGGGAGGCAGCAGUGGGGAAUAUUGCACUAUGGGCGCAAGCCUGAUGCAGCGACGCCGCGUGAGGGAUGACGGCCUUCGGGUUGUAAACCUCUUUCAGCUAUGACGAAGCGCAAGUGACGGUAGUAGCAGAAGAAGGACCGGCCAACUACGUGCCAGCCGCCGCCGUAA
rnacentral:rRNA from 1 species